rnacentral:tRNA from 1 species
GGGGUUGUAGUGUAGUGGCUAUCACGCGUCAUUUGCAUUGACGAGGUCCCGGGUUCAAUCCCUGGCGACUCCA